CUGCAAUGAUGGCAGUAUGUUUCGUCAACAGAUGAUACUUUGGGUCUGAGUGA
rnacentral:snoRNA from 1 species